rnacentral:lncRNA from 1 species
GUGAAUGAAAUCCUUGUUCUUCAACUGCUGAUAGACUUCCUUCUCCCUUCGGGUCUUCAGUCCAAGGUCUCCUAUCUUGAGAAGGACCUUAACUUGCUGACCUGAUGAAGAUGACGGAGCUUGUGUGGGUGUCGGGUCGACGCUCAUCUCUGAUGGCUGUGAGGAGUGUCGGGAUGAACUCCUUGUUCCAAUGUUCUUGAGAGCCUUCCCUGCAUUCUUCACCUUCUUAAACAUCCUGCAAACAACAGUUGGCAAAAACACAACUAGUGGAAAAGUGUGAGAUAAAAUGUUAGUGGUCAGCUGUCCGGGGUGUCAGUAGUCCAGGGGUUAAUCGUUCAAGACAAGUUUAUAUUUUGGUAGAGCCUCCCCCUAAACAACUUUUACUUCCGCUUAGACAACGGGAUCACUUCUUGCUAGGUGACAAUCACUCUCUCAAAAGAACUCCGACCUUCCAC